UGAGGGUCUUCUAUUGAGGAAACCCUAAGUAAAUAUAAGCUCUUGCAGUUGUAUGGACCAAUGAAAGGUGAGAAGAUUAGGCAUGGAGUGUAUUGGCCACUGAGUAGGUGGGGAAAAGGACUUUUCAGUUUUCUGUGCCAUACACUAGGAAGACUCAGAGGAAGCACCUCGCCACAUCUCCCUACAGCCUACAAUGCAGAGAAAUGAAGGAGCCUAGGGGAAAAGAUUUUCAAUGUGAUCGGCUUUUCUGGGUCUCUGCUUCUCAACCUGCUCAUGAAAUUCCUCAGAUAUAUCAAUUCUAAUUAAACUUCCUAUUAGAGUGCUUUGUUAUAAGCCUCCAAGCUUCUAAAACAAGGACUGUAUUCAAGGGUUCAGUCUACAGUUAUUUGGUUCCAGAGAGAGAAGCCAUAGGAAAGGAGAGCUGCUCAACCCAAGGCAGCCAAGGAGCAAAACCGGGAACUCUGCCAGAAGAGAAGGGGCCAGGGACCAGACAUGAGCCAGACCUGAAAUACCAAUCAACACACCACAACUUGGUCAAGAUUUCUUCUGCUGCCAGCCAUCUACAAC